rfam:Octopus bimaculoides Scaffold30453_contig_26, whole genome shotgun sequence.
GAAUAUGGCCAUAUCACGUUGAAAGCACCGGUUCUCGUCUGAUCACCGAAGUUAAGCAACAUCGAGCCUAGUUAGUACUUAGAUGGGUGACCGCUUGGGAAACCUAGGUGCUGUAAGCA